rnacentral:rRNA from 1 species
UGGGGAAUAUUGGACAAUGGGCGCAAGCCUGAUCCAGCAAUGCCGCGUGAGUGAAGAAGGUCUUCGGAUUGUAAAGCUCUUUUGGCGGGGACGAUGAUGACGGUACCCGCAGAAUAAGCCCCGGCUAACUUCGUGCCAGCAGCCGCGGUAAUACGAAGGGGGCUAGCGUUGCUCGGAAUGACUGGGCGUAAAGGGCGCGUAGGCGGAAUGUACAGUCAGACGUGAAAUUCCUGGGCUCAACCUGGGGGCUGCGUUUGAUACGUGCGUUCUUGAGUGAGGAAGAGGGUCGUGGAAUUCCCAGUGUAGAGGUGAAAUUCGUAGAUAUUGGGAAGAACACCGGUGGCGAAGGCGGCGACCUGGUCCUUUACUGACGCUGAGGCGCGAAAGCGUGGGGAGCAAA